GGGCAGGCAGACAGAGGUGACCGGAUGGGCAGGCAGGGUCAGGGCAGGCAGACAGAGGUGACCAGAUGGGCAGGCAGGGUCAGGGCAGGCAGACAGAAGUGACCGGAUGGGCAGGCAGGGUCAGGGCAGGCAGACAGAGAUGACCGGAUGGGUAGGCAGGGGUCAGGGCAGGCAGACAGAGAUGACCGGAUGGGCAGGCAGGGUCAGGGCAGGCAGACAGAGGUGACCGGAUGGGCAGGCAGGGUCAGGGCAGGCAGACAGAGGUGACCGGAUGGGCAGGCAGGGUCAGGGCAGGCAGACAGAGGUGACCGGAUGGGCAGGCAGGCCCCAGGAGUUCCAGGCACAGCUCUGUUACCGACUCUCGGAAAGGUCUAGACUGUCCCUCCCAUCCCUCACGUUCUGUGCUAGCUUCUCUAUCGACAUGUGAGCAUUAGACUAGCUGGGUAGGCUUCUGAGGCCCGAGGGGCCAGGGAGGGACACAAACGUCCUUGGCUGCGGUGAUGAGGACCAGAAGGUUCUGGAAGAUAGGCUCCUCUAGACUCUCAGGCUCCACUGACCAUGACUCUGCUUGUCCUGGCCUGCCUCUAGGCGCCCACGUCUGGGGCCUCUGGUUCCCGGCACCUGACAAGGCCCCUGUGCCUUUGUCCUCACCUCCCACCCCCCACCCUCCCAGCUCCUGCCACCCCACAGCUGCCAUAACCCACGCGUAGCACUCUGCCCUCUGGAAUUUAUUUUAAGGUCUUGGCUUGUUUAUUUAUUUUAUUUAGAGAUUUCUUGGUGCUUUGUGGGGAGGAAGAUUCGAAUGGGGUGAUUAUGAAAUAGUAUUUCACCUUGCUGUUCAUUCACAACAAACAAAGAGAAAUGAUUGGUGAUUAAAAAUGCAUUCUCUCUG